AAAAUUUUGAAUCCCAAAUUCUCUCCGCGAUCGUUACGGCUCCGCCGUGCAUCAAGCGGCGCCUAACCCCGCCGUCCCGACGAACCACACUACUGCCGCCCCUGCACUGGCGCUCGCUCGCUUCUCUCUUCGUGCUCGUUGCUACGUUUGUUCCGGCGUUCGUGAUGUGGCCGUUCCCCGCCUGAGCCGACGAAGGAGGUGUCCGCUCCGACGCUGUCCACCUUGGAUCAUACGUCCGUGGUGUCCUUGAACCUGUUCGUGGCGCUCCUCCUUGCUUGCAUUGUGAUCGGUCAUCUCUUGAAAUAGAACCGGUGGAUGAAUGAGUCCAUUACUGCUCUGAUGAUCUUUGUUGAAGAAGAAAAGGACCAGGAUAUAUGUUAUGAUGAUGAAGAAGAUAGUGCUGGAAUGGAUGAAACAAUCAUGAGUGAUGUUGACUCUUUGCAUCUGCUGGAUAAGCCAGGGCACAUUGUAGAAGGAAAUGAGGAGGAAAUCAAAGAAAAUAGACAAAGAUGUGAAGGAUAACUCAGCAAACCUUGUUGUGAGGCACACUUCAAUGAGACAACGAUGAUGAAUAAGCUUUGAAAGAUGCCAGCUAUCUGCAAAAUGAACUCAUCUCUCUAUGUUCUCCUUUAAAAUCCCAUUUAAUGGCGUCUGAUGGAAUGGCUAAUUCAAGAUGAAAGUGAAGAGAAUGCGAAUGAUGCUGAGUUGGUAAAAAGCGCCUGAACAAGCAGAGAUGGCGAGCAAUUGCUGCUGUUCAUAGAGGAGGGAAGACCAUUGCUUCUAGAAAUUCUUACAAGGACAAAGGUGGAAGGUCAUCUCACAAUUCCAAAAUUCAAAAACAAUUAAGCUCCCGGUAGUGCACAUGGAAGAAUUCAGCAGCAUGUAGGGGCUGGAGGAAGUCUGAGGAACGAAUGAGGAAAGAGAUGGAAAGAUUUGAUCGUGAAAGAAGGAAGGAAGAAGAAAGGUUGAUGUGUGAACAGCAGAGAGAGGGAGGAGAGAUUGCUACGUGAGCAAAGGCGAGAAUCAGAGCGACGGGAGAAGUAUUUACAGAAAGAAUCCAUUAAGGCAGAGAAAAAGAGACAAAAAGAAGAGCUUUGUCGAGAAAAAGAAGCAGAGAGAUGGAAAGCUGCAGUGGAGAAGGCCGCUGCUCGCAGAAUUGCCAAGGAAUCCAUGGAGCUUAUGGAGGAUGAACAGCUGGAGCUGAUGGAAUUGGCCGCUGCAAGCAAGGGGUUGCAUUCAAUUGUUAAUCUGAAACAUUUAGAAGUGAGGAUCUGGUUUAUAUUUCAUUGCACUUGAAUUUGCUUCAUGCUGUCAUUUUGUAGUAAAGGAGCUGAUUUUGACAUCUUGAAAUUAUAGCCAAUAGAUGCAUAAAUAUGUAUCUCUUGUUACUGUUUCUUGUUUCGGUAGUUACACGGGAAAAAAAAGAUUUCUGGUU